AAAAAUGCAGUGAGCGGGCAAAAGUACGGUUCCAACUCCUUUUCAGAGAGCCGCUGGGGGUGUGAAGCGGCAGGAAGUUCCGAUAUGACAUCACCCGUUAGCAGCCGGUUUGAAAGGCACCCGCCGAUUAGAUCCGGACGGUUCCGACCCGUUAGAAUCGGACGUAUUUGGUGGGCCCGCCUGAUACGGUUGAGGUGGCCGCGACGACGCGGCAAGCAGAGUGGUAACGCGGAGAACAAUCCUUCGUCUCUGAU
rnacentral:ncRNA from 1 species